UACGUAGGGUGCAAGCGUUGUCCGGAAUUAUUGGGCGUAAAGAGCUCGUAGGCGGUUUGUCGCGUCGGCUGUGAAAUCCCGAGGCUCAACCUCGGGCCUGCAGUCGAUACGGGCAAACUAGAGUGUGGUAGGGGAGACUGGAAUUCCCGGUGUAGCGGUGAAAUGCGCAGAUAUCGGGAGGAACACCGGUGGCGAAGGCGGUUCUCUGGGCCUUACCUGACGCUGAGGAGCGAAAGCGUGGGGAGCGAACAGG
rnacentral:rRNA from 1 species